CCUCCCAGGAGUUCUGACUUCUCGCAAGAUCAGCCAGCAGCCAGACCUUUUGUGGCUGCCAACUUCUCCCCAAAAAUGCCAUCAUGUAGCUUCUGACUGGCCUUGCCAACUGGUGUCUGAAGCCACUUUUCCCACACCCACUGUGCUUCUCAAGUAGCUACUUUUACAGGUUUGGAGCUAUACAGCAGUGAAGAAAAAUGGACUUGCUGCUAGAAGCCAUCCGAGAUAAAGAGUCAAAUGGAGUCAAAUCUAGUGGAAAGAGGAUAAGACUGUUGUCCACUUUCAAAAAUAAUGUGUCAGUUCAUAAGGUGGGUUAAGGUUUUCAGAUGUGCAUACAUGUAUAGAUUUCUUCUUCUAUCGUCUGUAGAACUCUUUGGUGAUUAAAUGGAGUAUCCUCUGUAAUACAUCAACAAUUGGGUAGCAGUGUUAGUCUCAUCAA